GCCUCUAUACCAUGUGUGUGUGUUAGGGUGUGAAAGUAAUUGUGGUGAAUAAUUACUUAAUAUUAACUUAGACUGGUAAACUUCAGGAACACUCAGGAAUCAGGUUUAUUCUGUUACAAGCAGAGAGGGUAAAAAUGGUCUAUGGUCAUGGCCUCUGUUGGAUCAACCUCUCCCUCUCUUCUU